AAUGGGAUAACUGGGUCAAAUGGUGGUUCCAUUCCAAGUUUUCUGAGGAACCUUCAUACUGCUUUCCAGAGUGGUUGCACCAAUUUGCAAUCCCACCAGCAUU
rnacentral:pre_miRNA from 1 species